UCGUGCUGGCAGGGCUCCUUGCCUUCCCGGAAUGUGUUCCUUCUUGUUUGCCACUCAGUGCCUGGCCCAAAGCCAAACCUGGGCUGCUCGGAAUGCCAUGCCCCCACUCACUUCUCUCUCAGGAUCUGAGACAAGGCUCUCUUCCGCCUGGGGAAAGGCCAGGCUCUCGCUGCAGCCUCGUCCCACUGCGCAACUUCUCUAGGCACAUCAGACUCUCCACCGGCUGAAAGCAGAAGCACUUAGGGAGAGGACAGCAGGGUCCCCAGGAAAGCAGACGAUCACUGCUUUUCCUCCAGAAUAAGCCAAUGUGGAUAAGGGAGACCAAAGGAAAUUAAUUAUAUACCAAUAAGAAAAGUCUUACGUAAACCCUGUGUGUAAUAAAUGUUCAAAUAA
ensembl:lncRNA novel transcript, antisense to SENP8